rnacentral:lncRNA from 1 species
GCUUAUGUGUUUGUGCCUCUAACAGGUUUGUUUUGGUUCAAAGUAAGAGAAUUAAUGGUUAGCUUUUGUAUGUUUAUCAGCAUGGUAUAGCUUUGGUUUUUGUGUCUAGUUGUUUUGUUGGUUUUGUUGUUGUGUUGGGACGAUUAUGUCAAACUAUGCAAAAUAUGUGUCCAUAGAUGAAUAUGGUCAUUCAUAGAAAACAUAGGCUCAAAUGGAAUGAGGAGGUAAGCAUUUAAUUGGCUUGUGAAGUUGUCUUCGAAAAGCAAAGUUGGAUUGACUUUAGUCUUAUAGGGUUACAUUGAGUUCAGUCUUAUAGCUUUGGUGAAAUAUGAAGUAAGUAUCUUCUUUUAUUUUCAUUUUAAUCUAUUAGGGUGUUCCACAAGGUUCCUAAAUAUGAUAGUCCAUGUCUUUUUAUAUACAGUAGCUAUUUAAUGAAUAAUGUUGUAU